rnacentral:rRNA from 1 species
AUACAGAGGUGGCAAGCGUUGUUCGGAUUUAUUGGGCGUAAAGGGUCCGUAGGCGGAUUGGAAAGUCGGGUGUGAAAUCCUACAGCUCAACUGUGGAACUGCAUUCGAAACUUCCGAACUUGAGUGUGAGAGGGGUGAAGGGAAUUCCCGGUGUAAGGGUGAAAUCUGCAGAGAUCGGGAAGAACACCAGUCGCGAAGGCGCUUCACUGGCUCACUACUGACGCUGAAAGACGAAAGCUAGGGUAGCCAACGGGAUUAGAAACCCCAGUAGUCC